ACACACACACACACUCUUCUUUAUCUACAUUGCAGAAAAUUGAGGAAAAUAUUUGAGCAGAUUUCUGAAAUCUCUUUCUUGCUGGAAUGAGGUUCUUUCAAGGAACUUACCAAAAAACAUCUAUUGUCUGUUUCGCAUGCCUAGUUGAAUCCAUACAGGAUGACAAAGUGUCACUUGUGCCUAGCUGCGGAGAUGACAGACUCUAUCCAAGUGCUCUGGCUACCAGGUUUCAGAUCCUAGUUAAGCAUAUGCAGCCCGGGCACUCGUAGUAUCUGCAGCCACCCUGCACUGCAAUAAGCCCCUGUCUUGUUUAUGUCAGUAUAGUGGUAUUCAGAGAAUUGUAUGUAAGAUGAAAGAAUCCUGUUCUAAUUCAUUGAUAAUUUGGACAAAUACACCUGCUUAUAAUAAUGUGAUGUUCAAAUAACCCACUGGAACUUGAGACAAGUACAUGUAUGUUGCACACGAAAUGAUCCCAGACUGUGGAAUAUCAGUGUGCUAGUACAGAACACUGACAUGUGGAUGGUUUGCUGGCUACAACUGUUUUACUGCAUAUAGAAAAGACCAGAAUUCAAAAAAAUACCCCUGCAAGAGCAAAAUGCUUCAGUCUAAUCGCUGUGAACAGGAGAUGGUCUGUGUUUCUCGUGUUUCUUGAUGACCAUCAGAAUUCACUAACCUGGACAAAUUGUUUUUGGUCUAUGUUCUCUGAUAUAGUGGACCAGAGUUACAAAACCCCUGAGUGUCUGAAAUCUGCCUAAUGUGUCCAAUAAGCAGAUCUUUUAAUUUUAUGUAAUUAUAAUUAAUAUGAACUCUGAUCACACAGCUUGAAAUAAAGUUUGGUUAUACUGUGUACUUUUAUUAUGCAUGUAACACAUUUAAAAUCAUAGACGGAAAGCAUACAAAGAUAUGUGCCAAACUGUUAAUGCCUCUCAAGCUGGGAUUAGAGAUGCGUAGAGAGGGGAUUUUAAUGCCUUAUCUUGCCUAAUUCCAAAAAGAAAAAGAAGAAAGGAGUGGGAUUAGAAACUAAUCAAAUCAAUCAGUGAGACUAAUUAUAUCAUGGAACCAAUUAUGUAGAACCAUGUCUUGGAAUUAAAAUGAAAAGGAAGGAGAUGAAGGGCUGGGUGAUUAUCUCUGUAAUCCAGACAAGGCCCUCCUCCUCUUGGCAGGGCACGUGAACUCUGAGCCUCAGGCAUCUGCUUCUUAAGUCAUACAUGAUGGGACAAUGUCCAAAGAUCUGAGUACCCUGCAGGUGGGGAUGACAGAGAGAAGCAAGGUGUGGACGCAGAGAUAGGAUCUGCCUCCGGUCUCUUACACUAAACCUCUGGUCAAACUCCAGUUUGUGAGAAGCCCUUGCAAAGCAUGCAGACCUCUGGCUGGUCUGGUGAGCAGUGAUGAAGACUUUUCUAAUUCUCCUUGGGCUAACAUGCAGACAAGUGGCUAAGGAUUCAGAGGCCUGAUCAUGCUACAUUUGGUCAUAUCACAAGCACAGAAUUCUUGCUCAGGUUUCUUUUCAUUUUUAGUGUGUGUGUGUGUGUGUGUGUGUGUGUGUGUGUGUGUCUGUGUGUGUGUGUGUCUGUGUCUGUGUCUGUGUGGGUAUGUGAAUGUAUGUGGAAACUAUAUGCUGACAUGAAAAUUUUUCUAUCACUCUCCUCUUCCUUUCGAGAGAAAAGAUCUUUCUGAACAAGGGACUUACCUUUUAGGUAGACUUACUGGCCAGCCAGCCCCAGGAACCUUCAUGUCUCUGCCUCCAGGUGCCAGGUCCUACAAGUACAAAACAUUUUAUUUUCUUUAAAGAUGUAUGCUUAACAUUAAGUACUUAUACCAAAGGGAAUAAAGAGUCAUUCAUGAGUGAACAUGGUGAUCAUGUGUAUUCACGUUAGCCUGAUUGACAGGGUCACUCAUGUAGUAGUUGAAUGGAAAUUCAGAGUUCUAGAACAAAAGACAGUGAGUCACAAACCAAAGCCUUUACCCAGUAUGUUAGUGGGACACAGAGGUAGUGGGUCACAAAAGAGAGAGGAGACCUAGGUUUAGGUUUCGGAUGCUAUCCCAUGACAUUCUUUGCUUUUGUUGGUGGAAGCUAAGUCCAUAUAUAUGAAAAGAUUGUUCAAAUAAACAAGAGCGUAAAGUCAGAUUGAGGCAAAUGAUAGAUGUCCUUCAAGGUAAACAGUACAAGCUUAAGAUAAUUUGAUCUGCCAACCUGCAGUGUUUCUACUAUGCAUAAUCAGACAUUUGUAAGUAGUCAGCGAGCCUGUAGAGUUCAACAAGGAACUGGCUUUAUGGAGAACUUCAGUUCUCAGCUCCAAGGAAAUAAAAUAAACAC
rnacentral:lncRNA from 1 species